GAAGAUUUACAUUACCAUUUUCUUUCUUUUUCCUUUUGCAUAUUAUAUAAAACUGCCCAUGCCACUACCUGAUCAUUAAUUUAAUGCUAUGAUUUAAUAGCUCAUGAUGUUAAAUUGUAACUUAGCCUAAUAUGACAAAAUUACAGUAUUAGAAGGAAAUUUCCUUUUCUUGGGUUGUUUUGUACAUCUUAAACCAGUAGUAUUAUUGGCUGAAUUUUUCACAAUUAUGUCUCAGCCUUGAUUUAGGGAAUAUUCUAACUCCCAUAGGAUUGCAUUUUGUUAAAGAGGAUCUAGGUUAUAAUCCAUGUCUCAAAAGUAAAGUUAAGAAAGGAAAAAAAGCUUUUUUUGGGGGGGGUGUGUGUUUACAGUACUGAAAUAGAUUCUGCCUGGGACUCUAUAUAAAAUAAAAAGUACAGUCAUUAUCAUGUAUACUCACAUGGAUUAUCUAAAUAUCCUUAGAAAGGUAUAACCCCUUCAGCAAUAUUUUACAAACCAAUCAAUGAGGUCCUAAUUACAUUUAUCUUGAAUAGUUUUGCACUUGUAACUUUGUGUUUUUUCCUUUUAUAUAUGGUCACAAAAAUAAAAUGUGUCACCCUUGGUUAAUUCAAGCAAAGAAGGUUUUAUUCUGAACACCUAUUUGCUGUUUUACUUAUUUGAAAUUUGUUCCUCGACUCUCUACAUUUCUUUACAUAUAAAAUAUUUUGUGUUAUGAAUGUGAUUAAAAUAGAUAAUAAUUAGUUGAUUUAAUGAGAACAAGAGAGAGAGGGAACAAGCCAGAGAAAAAUAUGAACUACAACAUUCUCUUCUAUUCUGUAAAGUCUGUCAAGGCAACAGAGAAAGGCCUACUCAGGUUUAGUGAAAGAAAGAAAAAAGAAAUAUAGUAGAAGGUUCUCCUGCUGCUUUACCAAGAAGUCUGAGACAAGUUGUGGCAGAAUUUAGGCUCAGUAAAACUCAGACAAUUGAGCUACCAUGUGAGAAUCUCAGAAUGAGUUUAGGUAGGAGGCAUAGGAGUUGAAAUCCAAUACUGUAUGCAACAAUGAUCACGCCAGAAUUGCACAUGGAAAAACACACACACACACACACACACACACACACACACACACACACACACACAAAAUGAGAGAUUUGUUUGUCUACAUGGUGUACCUGACUGAGAAGUCCUUUUGCUGUAGGGCUUCUCACAGAAAGUGACUAAUUCUCAUGAUGUGAGAUAUUUUCUUUUAUAUGGUAUUGGAAAAAGAAAGUUUAUCCAUACUCCUUAAGGGCAGUGCUGUAUUUUUAUUCCCAUAUAAUAGAUUGUCUUCUAAAAAGUAACUCCAGGAUUGAGAAAGACAGUACUUGUGACUCAAAUGGCAUGUCCCAUUCCCUAUUGUAGAAAUUGUAUCAGUCUGUGUAUAUUUACAAGACACUGCUAAAAGAUUGCCCCAUAUAAAAUGUGUGUUUGGAUUCUUUAUACAAGAAACUGAUAAAAGGGAGCAGGGUUAUUUAUUAAAUCUAGUAGCAGGUUAAUCACAUAUGACAUUAUUAAAGUAUGGAGUAGUCAUCAAGCAUAGGCAAACAUGCAAAAAUUACACCCUAAAGAAGUAAGAGAUAUAAGUAAGUAUACAUCAUUCUCUCAGGUUCUGCUGUAUAGUAUCUGCUUUAAAGAACCUGAUACAUAGUUGUAGUCGAUUGAAUAAGUGAUUCUAGUUCUUCCCUUUCUCUACCUUAACAUUGCCUCCUUCUUAAUGGAGUGUAUUUCCCCAUCCCUGGCCUUAAGAACUUAGCUCUGUGACUUGAUUUACCAAAGAAGUAAGCAGAGGUGACAGUGUGCUGAUUUGAAGCCUGGUCCUUAAGAGGGACUCUUUUUUUCCUGUUUGUGCUUCUACCCAAUGGAUAAGCAGAAUGUGUUCCAUCUAGGCUGCUGAUCUCACAGGGAGGACAAGAGACAUGUACAGUAGGGCCACGCUAGCCGCAUAUUGAGAAUAAAUGAUUGUUGUUUGAAACCAUAAUGCAUUAUUCUACAUUACUGUGGCAGUAACUAAAUCAAACAGCAAAUAAGCUUUUGUUUUUCCUGACUACCUAUUGAAAAUUAAUAAUAUCAGUCAUUUUGUAAUAAAAAUAUAAAGACUAUUUUAAUUUAAUGGUUUGCUGUUAAACAUAAUUUUUUUAAAAAUUAGAUCUUCUCUUGUGAUGUCAUUAUAUUAAGCUUAUAUAUCAUAAAUACGUUACUUCUUUUAAUUUAGUUUUAGGUAACAUUUGUCAUGGUUGGAAACACUACCAGUCUUGAGAAGAUACAUACAUUUCUGUGUUUUUUUUUAAAAUCUCCUUACAUCAAAGUAUUGCAUAAUAAUAUCUUUCAUUUUAAUACAUCUCACAUUCCCAGGAGAAAAUAAAUGAUAUUUGGUUUCGUGAGAGAGAUAACAAUAAUGAACAUUACCAUCUGGUUUAACCCUUGUGAUGAUAGGGAAUCAUAGCUGUGUUAAUUACCUUUGUGGUUUGUCUUCAUAGAGAUAAUUAUAUGUGAAAUUCCUUUCUAAUUUGUUAUAUAAUAUUAUAAGUAUUUCUAAACCUGACAUGGAUUUAUUAAAUUGCCAUCUACCAUCUUAUUGACAUAAUCACUAAUGCUAAGCCCAUAGAUCUAUUUAUAACUGAAGGUUUUAAAGCUAUAGUAUUCAAAACAAGACUAUUAGCUUAAGAGACUUUUUGCAUGUCUUUUGAAUAAUUGGAUUAUUCAGUAUUUCUUCAUGUUUAGUUCCUGAAUCUAAGUUAUACUGUCUGUGUAAAAAUAGAUGUCAGCUAAAGAUAACCAGGCACUGGAUUUGUCUUGACAACAAUCUUUUUAUAUAUUCAGACUUCAUUUAUUAUUAGACAUGUCUUUUUUUUUUUUAAUUGGUGUUUCUUUACCUCUUUGAAUUUAGGGAAAUGUAUUAAGGGAAUAACAUUAAUUUCCUCCAUCAUUUUGGCAGAAUCACAUUUGAGGCUUCUGUGAGAGAUUAUCUAAUUAAUUAAAAGAGACAUUUGAAAAGAUGAUUGUUAAUAUAUCUUUACAAUGAAUUAGUAGCAUAAACUGUUGCUAUGUGAUUUAGGUACAGUUAUAAUUUUUAGUAAUCCCAGGAGAAGAUACAGUGUAUUUUAUUAUGUUUUGCAGCUGUGAUUGCUCAAAAUUCUGAGAGGUCGGUCCUCUGCAAGGCUUCCUGAUAUCAUUGCUCCUAGGGGAGUUUUAUUCCAGUAUUUACAGCAGCUGCAGCUGUAACUAUUUCUGUAUUACUCUAAUCAUAGUUAUUAUUAUAUUAUUUACUUACCUAUAUUGUGGUCUAAAGAAUAAGUGGACUUCAUAUUUUAGGGAAAGCUAUUGAAAAAAAUGAAAGGAAGUUUGAUGUAGAUCUGUAUACCCUACAUUAGCGUUUGUAGGUUCUCAGAAUUAGCUGAGUAAUGCCCUAAAGAGGGAAGGUCAAGUAACAUGUCUUGCUGCUCCCUGUUCCUUGUGUCGUGAGUUUUGUUCCUGUAGAAGAGGAGCAGAGAGUGGGAAGAAAAUGAAAUCUGUCAAUACUGUGAAUAUAUAAAUAAUAAAAGUGGCAGUUGGACUGAUUAAUUCUGAGUCAUCUUUAUAAAAUGACUGGAGCCAUGAAAAUGCUCAGUCUGCACAGCUUGGGAAAUGUAUGCAAUCUGUUGAUCAGAAUUCAUUUGUGAAUGCUCUCUUCCAGAGAUUUCUAGACCAGGAUUUGGAAAAACAUUUUUGGCCCCGUGAAAAAGAAAAACUAGAUUUAGCGUCACAGAAUAGUUUCAGAAUACUUCUGUAAAUAAACUAUAAUGGAAAAAAUAAAAAUCAUUAAAAAACCCAGAAUACUUCCAAUUGAUACAUACUUAUUUUCGGUGGGAAAAUGAAAAGCUAAAUUCUUGGUUCAUUAAGAAGAAAAUUUAGUAUAAAUAAAUGCAAACUACAGAUUUAAUUCAGUGAUCCUAUAAAGAGGAAUAUAUUCAUCAUUGUCUUUUAAUCUCAGAGUAUACAUAUUAUUUCAUUUUUAUAACUAAAGCAACUGCGUUAUAUUACAUAUAGUAUUAUAACAGAGGAAGUCCUCUUAAACUCAGUAAUAAUCUGUUAUGUUUCUUUCUGAUUUUUAACCAAAAUAACAUAACUUUAAUUGGGAAGAUCAACUUGUCAACCUGUAUAGUUUAUAAAAUUAUUACUUUUAUUUGAAUAUUCUUCAUGUAAAAUUUUUAAAUUCUUUAAGCCAACCUAUAAACUUUGUUUUUUUGUUUUGUUUAUUGCAUAGGAUUUAAAACUUUGUUUCCAGAAGUUUCUUCUUCAUAGAACCACAUCCCCAACAUUCAUUCUUUGCUGUUCCCUUAAACUAGUAAAAUAUCUAACCUGUUUCUUAACUAUGGUGGUUUUAGCUAAGAAUAAUGUAUGAAUAUUUUCUAAAUAAUAUUAGAGUCCCUAAAUUGCCUGUGCUUGGUAUUACCAUAUUUAUUUCUCACUUUAAAAUCCUGUGAUACAUUCAAUUCACAUUUUAAAGUGAUUUCUUUAGAGCAAAAAAAUACAGAUACUUAAUGUAGUAGGCUAUUGGUAAAGCCAAGCAAAAAUUCUGUUUUAUUUAAUCUCACAGAAUAUCAUCUAUCAUGUCCAAAAAAUUAAAAUUAAAUUUAUUGUAUUUUCUCUUUUAUCUAAAAAAAAUUUCUUUGUAAAGACCAAUGAUGAUAGCAAUUAUAAAACUAAAAAAAAAUGUGAAUUGGGUGUCUUAUUCUUAGAAUUUCUUUUAGAAGUUUAGCAAUAAUUUUUCCUAAGUUAUCAGCAUCUUUCUUCAUGUUCUUUGAAUUAAUUCUGUGUAUUUAAGUUCAGAUGGUAAUUUGAGCUUUCUAAAAUCUUAUAACAAUGGGAAUGAUGGAAUAUAAAACAUCUUUAGUAUUUGUUAUGAAAACCAUUAUUUACUGAAGGACGUAGGCCUAGCAUUGCAUGAGCAGUAAAAGAAUCAAAGUCUGGUCAGUCAGCCCUCUCCUAGGCCUGCAAGCUGCUAAUCAGCUUUAAACUUUUCCAAGCUUGCACAAAGGGUCUAAGGCCCAUGGAUGAGGAGGGCAUCCUAACCUCUUCCUUGGUCUUGGAUUGCCCAGAUUAUGUUUAUACUCAUUUCUGAAUAAAAUUUAUUGAAUAUAGUCUAAACAAAAUAUUCAUUCUACUUUACCAUUUUCACUAACCUUGACAUCACUAUAUACCCAGGAUAACUUAAGAUAUUAAAAGCUGUUUUAGUCUUCUCACAUAAAUGCUUUCCUUAGAAGCAACCUAUUAGAAAGCCCCGAAAAGGCAACUUGUGUUAAUGACUACAUAUACCACCUAUAGCCACCGAAGGUUGAUAGGAACCAGAUUUAAUGAUACUCAGUGGGCUUUGAUUUUUCAACUCAUUCUCUUCCACUAUAUGGUCUUUAUUAAAUGGCAUUAUUUACCAUUAUUUAAAGCUAUGACUGGUGAACUAUUUAAAUGUUUAAACACUGGAGAAAAAAAAUCAACCAUCACUGCUUUCUUUUGAAUCUUUAAUUUUAAAAUUCGUAUACCCAUUUGGUACUUAAAGGGGGAAUACACUGAGGAGCAGUUUGAUUCUAAGACUGUAUAGAAUGUAUAUCUUCCAGCACAUUGAAAUAUCUCCCUAGAUAUAGAGAAUUCUUUCACUCCAGACUUGCUCAUAAAUAUGAUGGUAUCUGCUAUUUCCUUUUGAACUUUAAUUAUAUGUACCAUUCUCUUGAAGCUUGGGCCCUUGGAACUACAGUAUCCAUAAAUCAUAGAAUUGCAAGGCUGAAAAUGAAAUCUUAGAAAUCAUUGAAUCAGCUUACCAGAUGAGGAAAGUUAAGACCAUGGAUAUAGCUAUUUUAAAACACAAUCUACAUCUUUGCAAUAUUGGGGGUUGUCUAAUAUAGAACUAUGGUAUACCCCUUCAUGUAUUUAGAUCUACCUAAAUGUCUUCAGACAACAUACUAAACUUUUAUGUAUUGGAGUUUUACACAUAUUUAACGUGAUUUCUUUUGAGGCACUUAAUAUUUUUAGUACCUUUAUUGAGGUAAAAUUGUCAUACAGUCAACUGCACAAUACUUAAAGUGUAUAAUUUUAUAAUUUUAACAUAUUUGAAUACCCUGAAACCAUCACUACAAUCAAGCUAAUAUACAUAUGUAUCACCUCCCACAAAAAUAAAAGAAAAUAUGUAUAACUAAUCAGCCUCCAUCCU
ensembl:lncRNA